UACGGGGGGGGCAAGCGUUAUCCGGAAUUAUUGGGCGUAAAGAGCUCGUAGGCGGUUUGUCGCGUCUGCCGUGAAAGUCCGGGGCUCAACUCCGGAUCUGCGGUGGGUACGGGCAGACUAGAGUGAUGUAGGGGAGACUGGAAUUCCUGGUGUAGCGGUGAAAUGCGCAGAUAUCAGGAGGAACACCGAUGGCGAAGGCAGGUCUCUGGGCCACUACUGACGCUGAGAAGCGAAAGCAUGGGGAGCGAACAGG
rnacentral:rRNA from 1 species